AUUUAUGAUUAGAAAAUAAUUAACAGAAAUAGAAAACUGAACGUUCGUUAUAUUAACAAUUUGAACGAAAUAACAAUAUACAUAAAACACAUGAAUGUCGCCAUCUAUCCUUCCUUUGUCGCCUGCGACUAAGUUGAACAUCCAAAUUUAUCAAAUAACAGUAUUUCGAUGACAAAAACCAACACUUGUAAUAUUAACAAUACACGUUUGAAACAUUGAUGAUAAACGCUUGACACAUACACAAUAACGCUUGAUACAUAUGUAAACGCUCACACCAUUAAUGAUUAACGCUAUAAUGGCAUUAACGAUCAACGCUUAUGGCAUUAACGAUAUACGCUUGUGACAUAAACAAUAAACGCUUGUGACAUUAACUAUAAACACUUGUAAAAUUAACAAUUGGAACAACAUGUUUAACAUAUGAUGAUAGCACAUUAGAACAAACAUGGUUUCUUGAAUCAUUAUAUUAACAAUUUAAACGAAAUAACAAUAUACAUAAAACAAAUGAAUAUCAACACUUUCCAUCCUCUCUUGCCUGCGACUAAAUUUAACAUCCAAAUUCAUCAAAUAACAGUAUUUCGAAGAAAAAAAAUCAUCACUUGUAACAUUAACAAAAGACGUUUGAAAAAUUGAUGAUAAACGCUCGUAACAUAAACAAAUAAACGCUUGAUACUUAACGAUAAACGCUAAUACCAAUUACGAUAAACGCUAAUGCCAUUAACGAUCAACGCUUAUGACAUUAACGAUAAACGC
rnacentral:lncRNA from 1 species